UAUAACCAAAAAUAAAGACUUGAAAUGACAGAUAAUUACAGAUAUUAUUAGUUUAACCAGACACUGAACUAAAACGGCUAUGGUAAAUAUGGUUGGAGACAGAUAAAGGAACUAAGAACAGAUCCUUAAGAUAAUAUCUGAGAUUACUGACACCAGCAAUCAUUCAACUACUAGUAGUUCCCCAAUACUUCCGCUCCAGCCUAAGGAUACCCCUCAGGAGCAAGCAGAAAAGUCAGCCACGCCUGAGACUAACCUGAAUUCUCCAGUGCAGAACUGCCUGAAAGGGAAAACAGUGAAUGAUUCAGUCACUACGACAUAGUAGUUGUGAGCAUCCCUCAUUGCAGGAGAUAAAGGGCACAGACAAUGGAGCCAACAAACACAACCAGUCAGCCAGAUGUCCGUCCAGACACACAGGCAUAUGGGAUAACAACAUAAACUGACACCACAACAGUCAAAAAGAGGAACCAAAGAGCUCAAAGGCAGUGAACAGAUCGUUAGAAGCAGGCAAACAGUGAUUCUGCACACACUGCUUCAGUUCAUCUCCUGACCUAAAGUUCUCGGCUGUUUUAGGCACAACGUCUGCAAAGAGCUCGAUCUUCAUACGACCAACUUCCUGUGAAGGACAGAGGACUGUAAGAAGACCAGUUCAACGCCAUGAAAACCCCAAGGAGCAGGGAACACAAAGGCAAAUCCCUUCUCCCUCAAGCUGCUUGGUCUUUCCCACUUCUGCCUCCAUAACAACUUAUCCUUUCGUUCCUCUGUCCCUCCACAAGCUAGGCACUAGGAUGGCAGAACCCCUCUCCUCCUUCCUCCCCCGUUCCGCAGUUUCCCUUCGAUGCUCCAGCUCACCUGGCCACCGAUGCUGACAUCAAAGAAAACCACGGGGUUGACAGGGCUUGAAUUUGCCACCGCCAUGGCUCUGACCCGGAAGCAGAAGUUCUAAGAGUGGGGUUCCGGCGAACUCAAUCCCAGCUGAGACAGCCAGAAAUCGAAUGAAGGGGGUGAUGGAAAGGGAGAGAGACAGAGACACACCUUGCAACACUGCUUCAGCACUCGUGAAGCUUUCGCCUUGCAGCUACCAGGUGCCAGAUGCCAUCAGGAUGCCGGCCAGGCCUCCCUGGACUGAAGACCCCACCAAUGUGUCCUGGAGCUCAGCUUCCCCAGAGACCCACCCUACUAGGGAAAGAGAGAGGCAGACUGGGAGUAUGGACCAACCAGUCAACGUACAUGUUCAGUGGGAAAGAAA